AGCCAUCUGUAUCUGUGCUGAGAUUUCGUCACACACCAGGCCAAAAGGGCUGAUGAGACUUCCAAGAUAAGCGAAGCG
rfam:Schistosoma mattheei strain Denwood, Zambia genome assembly, scaffold: SMTD_scaffold0000194